UGUGUUUCAGUUGAGCAGUACUAUGGGAUUGAUGGUGGUAUGGUAGUAUGUUCGGGUUUUUAAAAAAGAAAGUUAGUGAGACAUGCAUCAUAUAGGAUGUGUAUAGCAGAGUCUGUAUAGGUAGCCUUUGUGGCUUGGUUUGUUUAUUUUUAGCCUGUGUGGCUUGAGCCUUUGUGGCUGGUUUUACUUUUAGCCUGUGUGGCUU
rnacentral:lncRNA from 1 species